rnacentral:tRNA from 1 species
UAGUAAAAUCAGCUAAUUAAGCUUUUGGGCUCAUGCCCCGAACAUGUGAAGUAAAACCCACUUUUACUAA